rnacentral:rRNA from 1 species
GACAGAGGGGGCAAGCGUUGCUCGGAAUUACUGGGCGUAAAGGGCGCGUAGGCGGGAUGGCAAGUCGGUCGUGAAAUCCCUCGGCUCAACUGAGGAUCGUCGAUCGAUACUGCCGUUCUUGAGGAUUGCAGAGGAGACUGGAAUUCCCGGUGUAGCGGUGAAAUGUGUAGAGAUCGGGAGGAACACCGGUGGCGAAGGCAGCCCCCUGGGUCGACACUGACGCUCAGGCACGAAAGCGUGGGGAGCAAACAGG